rnacentral:rRNA from 1 species
AUUGAACGCUGGCGGCAGGCCUAACACAUGCAAGUCGAGCGGAUGAAGGGAGCUUGCUCCCGGAUUCAGCGGCGGACGGGUGAGUAAUGCCUAGGAAUCUGCCUGGUAGUGGGGGAUAACGUCCGGAAACGGGCGCUAAUACCGCAUACGUCCUGAGGGAGAAAGUGGGGGAUCUUCGGACCUCACGCUAUCAGAUGAGCCUAGGUCGGAUUAGCUAGUUGGUGGGGUAAAGGCCUACCAAGGCGACGAUCCGUAACUGGUCUGUGAGGAUGAUCAGUCACACUGGAACUGAGACACGGUCCAGACUCCUACGGGAGGCAGCAGUGGGGAAUAUUGGACAAUGGGCGAAAGCCUGAUCCAGCCAUGCCGCGUGUGUGAAGAAGGUCUUCGGAUUGUAAAGCACUUUAAGUUGGGAGGAAGGGCAGUAAGUUAAUACCUUGCUGUUUUGACGUUACCAACAGAAUAAGCACCGGCUAACUUCGUG